rnacentral:lncRNA from 10 species
GCUGGAGCGCGCCGUCCGCCCGACCCCCGCCGCCUCUCGGGCGCCUGCGCUCACGCUGCGGGGCCCAGCGCAUUGUGAGCCGGGUCGAGCUCCACGCUGGCAGCGUCUGAGAGCUGUCCUGGGCCGGAGGUGGCGCGAACCCUGUGCGGCCUAGAGUGGGCCUGGGGAAGCCAGCUGCCAUGUUCUGAGUACUCUCUGGAAGGGCCUGCAUGGCAAGGAACUGAUGUUUCCAGCCAGCAGCCAGCAAGAACUGCAAGCCUUGUGAAUGAGCUUGGAAGCAGAUCCUCCCCUCACUCAAGCCAUGAUAUGACAACAGCCUGAGACCCAGAGAAAUAGAAAAACCCAUCCUAAAAUUUAUAUGAAAUCUCAAGGGCCCCUGAAUAGCCAAAACAACUGAUGUAGAACAAAGUUGGAGGGGUUCACACUUUCUGAUUUCAAGACUUACUACAAAUCUACAGUAGUCAAAACAAUAUGGUACUAGUGUGAGGACAUAUAGACCAAUGGAAUA